rnacentral:misc_RNA from 1 species
AAGUCGUAACAAGGUUUCCGUAGGUGAACCUGCGGAAGGAUCAUUAUUGAAGUUGCUGAGGGGUUGCUGCUGGCUCUCAGGAGCACUGUGCACGCCCUUCUCACUUUACCUUCAUCCACCUGUGCACACAUUGUAGAUCUUGGAUAACCUUCGGCUCGAUUUUAUCUGGCCGGCUAGGAGUGUUGCUCUUCUAACGAAGGGCUUCAGUCCAAUUUCCGGGUUCUAUGUAUUUCUCACAUACUCUAAGUAUUGUCAUAGAAUGUAUCAUGGGUCUUUAUGACCUCUAAAACUAUAAUACAACUUUCAACAACGGAUCUCUUGGCUCUC